rnacentral:rRNA from 1 species
AACGAACGCUGGCGGCAGGCCUAACACAUGCAAGUCGAACGAAGGCCCGGAGCUUGCUCCGGUCACCUUAGUGGCGGACGGGUGAGUAGCGCGUGGGAACCUACCUUGCAGUACGGAAUAACUGUUGGAAACGGCAGCUAAUACCGUAUACGCCCUACGGGGGAAAGAUUUAUCGCUGUUGGAUGGGCCCGCGCCUGAUUAGCUUGUUGGUGAGGUAAUGGCUCACCAAGGCGACGAUGCGUAGCCGACCUGAGAGGGUGAUCGGCCACAUUGGGACUGAGACACGGCCCAGACUCCUACGGGAGGCAGCAGUGGGGAAUAUUGCGCAAUGGGGGAAACCCUGACGCAGCAACGCCGCGUGAAUGAUGAAGGUUUUCGGAUCGUAAAGUUCUAUCAGCAGGGAUGAAUUUUGACAGUACCUGACUAAGAAGCCCCGGCUAACUACGUG